UUCACCCCACCCACAUUUUUUAAUGGAGCUGAAGUGAACACACUCUUUUAGGUUACUGCUGUUUAGGCAAGACUCUGUCUAGCUCCAAGAAUAACAUUAGCUGCUGCAGCACAGAUUAAGGGUUGGCAUGAAGGUCCAAGUGUGAGUUUGUCAUCGUUGGUUGGUGCCUGUUGUUCUGAAGACGAGAGAAGCACGAGCUUGUGUGACAUCAGCUUCCAGCGUUGGUUUGAUGUGGCCUCUGCCUUCUCACUGGCUAAUCGAGCUCCACUGGGACUGGAGAUGGGUUCCAAGAAAGUACAAUUGAUUAGAUGCAUAUUUUCUGAAUUAUACAACAGAUCACACCCAGCUGCACAGCUUUUCUCAGAUAAUCCUUACAGACCAUUAAUGGAUAUCACACCAUGUCUGAGAGUCUUGCUCACUGUUGUUUGUAGUUGCUCCUGCCCUGGAUCAGGUGAGUACCUCAAAGUCUCCUUCUAAUGCCUUGUGUUGAAAUGUAUUGCAUGAUAGGCUGAUGCACAGUAAUUUAUAUUUUCCUAAGGCCUAAAUAUUUAAAAAAAAAAGCUUUAAUAAUGUAGUCAGCAUGGCCCAGAAUCAGAUACAAUAGAAUUUCAUUGCAAACUCAUCUUUCCUCCCUUUCUUGAUGUUUUCUUUUAUGGCAGUAACCACCAAAGACCCAGACUAUAUUUCAACGACAGUUUUCAUUAUUUUUAAGAGACAUUCAAAUGAAUGUGAAUGUAGUUGGCUUCAAAUUCCAAGUAAAUUCAAAUACUAAGAUGCCUCUAGAUAAUUUAAAAAAUACUUCUAGUUUUCAUUUUACUGGAAACCUAAUACUUUGUGUGGCUACUACUGCAAUUUCAGCUGUUACAAGUAAGAUGAUUUGUUCAUUGAAAACCAAACACCUAUAAGGUUGUUUAUCAUAUGUUUAGAUUGAGUUUCAGAUGACAGUGCUUUCCCCAUAGUAUUAACCACACUGAAAUGCAAGUGAAUUAUAAAUUUAACCUUUUAUUCAAGACUCUAUCUUAUUUGAAUUUCACAGGACCAAUUUUCAAGCACAGUUUUCCCAUGUGAGCAGGCAGUGCAUAUUUUCUAGUCACUACCUUGAUUUGAGCCCAGUUAGGAGUUCUCAGUUUGUGCAAAUUCCAUUGUCCAUUUUAGCACACCUGAUUCAGUAACAUGUUGGAGCCAUUAUGAAUUCCUCUCAUGCACUUUAAUGUUUCCUGAGUAGUGGAAGUGUAAUUGUUGUUUGAAUAGCCAGACAUCUUUUGCCCUGAAGGCCCCCUCUGUGAAGAAUUUUUCACUCUGGUUUUGUAGUGCUAUGCCCUAGCCUAUCUUCUAACAACUUUAAUAGAAGUUUUUCUUUCUGUCAUAUCAGCAUUUA
rnacentral:lncRNA from 1 species